rnacentral:Y_RNA from 1 species
AGCUUGUCCGAAUGGUAGUGAGUGUAUCACGGAUGUCACAGCAGUCAGAUUGAACUCCUUGUUCUACUACUUUCCCCCUCCUCACUACUGCACUGACUAGUCUGUA